rnacentral:rRNA from 1 species
CGUCCUAUUAGCUAGUUGGUGAGGUAAUGGCUCACCAGGGCUACGAUGGGUAGGAGUUCUUAGUGGAAGGUCCCCCACACUGGCACUGAGAUACGGGCCAGACUCCUACGGGAGGCAGCAGUAGGGAAUAUUGGUCAAUGGGCGCAAGCCUGAACCAGCCAUGCCGCGUGCAGGAUGAAGGCUCUCUGAGUUGUAAACUGCUUUUGUACAGGAGCAAAAAAUCCCUGCGGGGGUUCUUGAGAGUACUGUAAGAAUAAGCACCGGCUAAUUCCGUGCCAGCAGCCGCGGUAAUACGGGAGGUGCAAGCGUUAUCCGGUUUUAUUGGGUUUAAAGGGUGCGUAGGCGGCUUAUUAAGUCAGUUGUGAAAUCCUAGUGCUUAACGCUAGAACUGCGAUUGAUACUAUU